UACGUAGGGUGCAAGCGUUAUCCGGAAUUAUUGGGCGUAAAGAGCUCGUAGGCGGUUUGUCGCGUCUGCUGUGAAAACUGGAGGCUCAACCUCCAGCCUGCAGUGGGUACGGGCAGACUAGAGUGCGGUAGGGGAGAUUGGAAUUCCUGGUGUAGCGGUGGAAUGCGCAGAUAUCAGGAGGAACACCGAUGGCGAAGGCAGAUCUCUGGGCCGUAACUGA
rnacentral:rRNA from 1 species